CUGUUCACAGGUCUGGAGCCCGGGGGGAGCUCUGAGAACUGUGCAGGGAUCCAAAGCAAUGCUGGCCCUGAGCAUCCGGGGCGGCUCCAGUGAGGAGCGGGCGUCCCCUGCAUUUUGCCCUUCCAAUUUGAGUGUGAUUUACAUACGAGUGUGCCUGAAGACCAGUGUGUAUGUGUUUCCUGACAUCUCGUCCCUUUGCAAGCACCAGGGGAGGAGCACUCAGGAGGGAUGUCCAGCUAUUCAUUGUCAAAGAUGAGUUGCCUACUAAAAAUAAGCCCUGGCAUUUACAUUUCCCUGUUUCCUGAAGAUAUUAUAAAGAACACAGAAGCACUCAUUAACUAUCAUGCUGCUAAUUAAUUAUCAGACUUUUAAGAGGCCAUGGAUAUCCAUACAGCACUAUGAUCCCAUGUAUUUUUAAACAUUCUUUCUGCUACAUUAUAUAUUAUCUUCUUGGGAUUACUCCCCAUCUGACUUGGGAAGCGUUACAACUUUCAGCUCUUGUUUUUUGCAAAGAUCAACCUCACUUUUAAUGGUUGAACCUGUAUAAACUUGUGGGAGAGCUAAAGCAAGUUUCCCUUCUGAAUUCGAACAUCAGGAUUUAGUGAUGUGCAGAACUGUUUUUGGCAAAGUUCCUCUCCAGUCAACACACUAGCUCAAUUUAAUUAUUAUAAUUUGACCUAAAACUGUUACAUGUUCUGGAGACUCUCUGAGACUGAAGGGAAAUCCUUUGAGUUCUUAAUCCCUUAGCAUGCCAUCUAAAACCAAC
rnacentral:lncRNA from 1 species